UUCUUUGUGGUUGCUGAGUUAUUUUGUUGUCUUUGUCCUUUCUGAAUAAUAAUAUUCCUUAUUGGAUACAUGAUUUGCAGAUACUUUCUUCCAUUCAUAUGUUGCCUUUUCACUACGUUGACUGUGUCCUUUUAUAUACAUAAUGUUUUAUUUCU